GCGAGACAUUUUUCAAAAACGUUUUUCAAGACACAGGAGAGGUCGGGUUGAAACAUUACUGAUGUUUCACGUUAAAAAUGGUCCUAAAGAUUGAUGCUAAACAACGUUUGACAUGUUUGAACGAACGUAAAUAGAUUAUUUUUUUAACUUUUCGUCGUGACUUUCCCCCCCACCCUACUUUUGAGUAGCCUAACAACAUGGAAAAACUUGGAGUUAUUUGGACAUAAAUUAUGAACUUUGUCGAAAGAAACCACAUUUGUUGUGGCCCUGGGAUUCCUGGAAGUGCCAAUGGAUGAAGAUAAUCAAAGCCCUCUCUCUGCAGGGUGAUGGGCUGCAGGCUUCCUAAGCUGCGGAGGGAGGGGGAGGAGAGGAGUCCCGUAAAGAUUUUUUCCACCCUCCGACGGCCACAGGUGGAGACCAAGGUGGGCGUGGCCUACACCUACCACUUCCUGGACUUCCUGUUAGGGAAAGAAGGUUGCUGAGGCACUCUUCCAGCAGGUCUUCAGGCAUUAUGGCAAUCUGGAGGACAUCGUCUCCGGCUGUGGCCACCAAUUCACAUCACAAGUAUGGAGGGCCUUCAUGGAGAAGCUCGGCG
rnacentral:lncRNA from 1 species